rnacentral:rRNA from 1 species
UACGAAGGGGGCUAGCGUUGUUCGGAUUUACUGGGCGUAAAGCGCACGUAGGCGGAUUGUUAAGUCAGGGGUGAAAUCCCGGAGCUCAACUCCGGAACUGCCUUUGAUACUGGCAAUCUUGAGACUGGAAGAGGUUAGUGGAAUUCCCAGUGUAGAGGUGAAAUUCGUAGAUAUUGGGUGGAACACCGGUGGCGAAGGCGGCUCACUGGUCCGGUUCUGACGCUGAGGCGCGAAAGCUAGGGGAGCGAACGGG